GCCCCCAUCGUCUAGUGGUUAGGACGACGGCCCUUCAAGCCGUUAACAGGGAUUCGAAUUCCCUUGGGGGUA
rnacentral:tRNA from 1 species